GGCACGGCGCCCCAUGAAUCUGUCCAAUCAUAUUUGCGCUUCCUGGAAAACACGCAUGCGCAUUUCGUGGGCGAAUGUGACUUGUAUCGAUUGGAGGAAACAAUUCAGCAUCGAAGGAAUAACGACUGAAAGUAAGUAAUACCAUUUAUUGUUUUUGUUUUGGUAUUUAAAUUACUUUAACACACACGAGUUAUUAUUCAUCAAACUAAUGUAACGUCACUGUGUUACGAAAAUAGAGCUAUAAAUGCCGCAUUCAACGGCGCAACCACCUUGCUCGAAGCUAUGAUACUUACCUCCACCGAGGCAUCGCAAGUGAUAAGAUACACUUUAUACAUCCCAUAGUGAAAUAACAAUGAUAGACAUAAAUGUACAGAGAACAUUGGAAGUGGAACAAUAUAAAUUGCUGAACAUACACUGCUUCAACAUAAUAUAGAGUUUUACAUUUACAAGAAGUUCCACUGUGUAUUCCAGCAACCUUUGUCUGUAUUCACAUAGUAUUGGAGUGUCAAAAUGACAAAACGAAAACCUGCAAAACGAUGGAGAAGAACCGGUAAAGAAGUCGACUCAAAUAAACGAUCAAGGACUGUACAAUUGCCACCAAUGUGAAUGUGGAGACUGAUGAGCAAUGUCUAAAAGGUAGCAGCAGGGGAACAGAAGGAGCCCAAAACACUGCUCUUCAUAUGGAACACAUCCAACCUCCAGGUGUCCAUGCAGGAUGUACCACUCUGGAACACCAAGCCUCUCCCUACCAGCCAGCACAUGAAAAUAUUUCUACUUUUGACUCUAUCAAAGACAAUGGAAAACCAUUUUCCAGAUCAGCCCUCAUAGAUCCUACUGAUGGCCUAACAACUGAACUACAUGUCGAUGCUGAGUAUGAUCCAUCUCAAACUUUUUUUUUGGAAUCUCUCCCUGAUAUGGGGGAUUGGAUGUACAAUGACGGACAUAUGUUUAAUGAAGGAUUUGAAGAUAGUUUGAGUGAGGAGUGUGCAGAAGAGUCAAAUAUCAAGGACACAACAGACAAACCAUUAUAUGACAAUGCAUCAGUAACCGUGGCAGAGUGCCUUCUGAUCAUCAUGGCUUAUGAAAACUGUCAUAAAGUCACUGAUAAGGCCCUAUAAGCGAUUUGCUGAAAAUGUUCAAGUUGCUUUGUCCCGAUAGUCUGAAUGCAGACUGCUUAAACAGUGUGCAGAAGUUCAAAAACUUUCUUUUAUCCCGCUCUGCAUCAUCGCCUAUUUUAUUACAUAAAUACUGCAGUAAUUGUUUUGGGCCAUUAGAAAGUAAACAAAUAAAAUGUCUGUCUUGUGGGACCAGUGUGUCAGAAGAAAGAUCCUCAUCCUUUAUAGAGGUUCCAAUUAAGGCUCACAUAAGGUCAUUGUUCCUCAAGCCAGGUUUUCAGGAGAAGCUUAACUUCAGAUUAAGCAGAAAGAAGGCAGAUGCUAACAACAUUGAAGAUAUAUAUGAUGCAGAAGUUUACAAACAGCUUGUCGAUAGGGGUUGUCCUCUUAGUGACCCUAAAAACAUCUCACUUGGAACACCGAUGAAGACAAAAAUUUAUAUUUGUUAAGGCUCAUACAUGGUACUCAAAAUAUACCUAUGCAGAUGGUAAAUGUAGUCAAACUUGUGCAGUCUAUUCCUGUUAUUUCACAAACUAUUAAACCAGGGAAUGUCAUAGCUGAAUUUUACAGACAUAUGACUAAAGAUGAUUGUUUCUGUCAGGAACACAAAUAUUUGUCUAGGAUUAAACUAUAUGGAGCACCUAGUGAACUUCUAUUGGACACAGUUCACCUCUCUGCAUUGCAAAUACAUGCGGGUCACUGCAUCAAUUCUGGAACAGUAAGCAUCUUUCACAGGGCACAAGUUAAGAGAAAUUAUCUCACAUCAAAACACAAUGGUAAAGGUAAUAGAAGAAACAAUUUUACAGUUUUUUUUUCAAAUGACGGACAAACAAAGUAUGGACAGAUUGAUUUCUUCUUUAUCAUAGCACAAUCAUGUGCCAAAUGGGCCCUCCUUCGUGAAUUCAAACAUGCAGGGUUUUCUUUGCUGCAAGAUAGUGUAACAAAUGGUACAUGAAGUCAUGUUAUUCCCCUAUUGGAAACCUCUGCCAGUACAGUAGUAUGAUUGGAUGACAUAUUGGGUAAAGUUGUUUUCCUUGACUUCACAUCUGUGCCUGGCAUUGUGUUUGCAGUUAAUUUCCCAAACCCACUUGAAAAGUUUUAACUAAUUAAGAACUCAACUGGCCUAAGAAGUCACAAAUCAAAUAUUUGAUCAUUGUUAUAAAUGCUCUGAAAAUACACACCGAUGAGAUGUUGCCGUGGAUGCUGUAAAAGUCUGUAAAUAUGUACUGUAUAUGGAGUAUCAUUGUUGAUUAAGUUUUUGCAUUGUCUGUAAUAUUUCAGUGGCCAAUAUAUUAAAAUGUACUUGUUAAAUAAAACCACUGUCUUUUUUAAUGAAUAUUUAGGCCUACUACGCUACUGUAUUUUAAUAUUAGUCCUUAUCAUGGUGGUUGGAGAGCCAAAGGUUUUCUGAAGUGGUACUUUGUGAAAAGAGUUUGAGAAUCAUUGCUCUAGAAAGUUCACUAAUGUUAAAAGGUCUUA